CACCCGCACGCAUACACACAAGGUGGUCAAACGUCGUAUUUUUACGUUUCAGCCAAUUUUACAUCAUUUCCACGCAAAAUUAGACAAUCUAAAGACGAAACGAUUUCAAUGCUUCCAUUCGGAAGGAGAAACGACGUGCUGCGGCGUUUUCAUCACAUGGCAGGCAAUCUAGUAUCUCACUCGCACUGCAGAAACGUCCUGUAGGUUGAGUAGCGUUGCCUGAGAAAAAUGCUCGUAGCGCGCCUAUGAAUGAAAUGAAAACAAGUAAAAGUCAUUGCACUGGUAGUGAUCGACAUACUGAACGUUUUGACGUUAAUUCCAAGAGUGUCCUAGGGGCCCUUCAUGCCGGAUUGGGUUGGACAGACUUGGAUAAAUUCUUCGCUAUGCUGAACAUGCCACGUUAUAAUUUUCAAACAUAUAAACGAUAUGAGGAUGAACUUGGAUUAGUAGCAGAAAAAGUGGCCAAAGAGAGCUGUCAAAGUGCGACUGAGUUAGAAAGGCAGAUGACGCUGGAACAAGCCGCAAUUAUUGAAAAAUCCCUGUAAUUUCAAGUCUCUUUAUUUUUUACAAUUCCGCUGCCAUUGAUUCAAUCACCCCAAUUUAACGUAUUACAUGCAUAAUUGUGUUCCGUCUUUUUGGAGUUAAGUCGAUUUUUUUUUUCAAGUAUUUACAAAUUUACAAAAUAUUUUUUUUAUCGUUUCUUCAA